rnacentral:sRNA from 1 species
UACCGUAUGCUUCAUGGGGAAUGCUCUCGAUCCC